AUUACCGCGGCUGCUGGCACGUAGUUAGCCGGGGCUUCUUCUGCAGGUACCGUCGAAUUUCUUCCCUGCUGAAAGCGGUUUACGACCCGAAGGCCUUCAUCCCGCACGCGGCGUUGCUGCGUCAGGGUUUCCCCCAUUGCGCAAAAUUCCCCACUGCUGCCUCCCGUAGG
rnacentral:rRNA from 1 species